rnacentral:rRNA from 1 species
GGCAGUCAGAGGCGAUGAAGGACGUGCUAAUCUGCGAUAAGCGUCGGUAAGGUGAUAUGAACCGUUAUAACCGGCGAUUUCCGAAUGGGGAAACCCAGUGUGUUUCGACACACUAUCAUUAACUGAAUCCAUAGGUUAAUGAGGCGAACCGGGGGAACUGAAACAUCUAAGUACCCCGAGGAAAAGAAAUCAACCGAGAUUCCCCCAGUAGCGGCGAGCGAACGGGGAGCAGCCCAGAGUCUGAAUCAGUGUGUGUGUUAGUGGAAGCGUCUGGAAAGGCGCGCGAUACAGGGUGACAGCCCCGUACACAAAAAUGCACAUAUUGUGAGCUCGAUGAGUAGGGCGGGACACGUGGUAUCCUGUCUGAAUAUGGGGGGACCAUCCUCCAAGGCUAAAUACUCCUGACUGACCGAUAGUGAACCAGUACCGU